AUGGCGGCUGUUGAUUUUGAUCUUCGAUUCACAUAUGUGUUGGCCGGUUGGGAGGGGACAACACAUGAUGCUGUAGUUUUACGCGAUGCUUUAGGACGUGAAAAUGGUCUACGUGUCCCACAAGGAAAAUUUUAUCUAGUUGAUGCCGGAUAUGGAGCCAAACCAGGCUUCUUGCCUCCUUUUCGUGGCGUGAGGUACCAUUUAAAUGAGUGGGGAAACAAUCCUGUGCAAAAUGAGAAGGAGUUGUUCAACCUUAGGCAUUCUUCUCUUCGCACAACUGUAGAACGGGCAUUUGGGUUAUUGAAGAGAAGAUUCAAA
rnacentral:rRNA from 1 species